GUGAGGCCGUGGGACCCACAUGAUUUUCUUGCCAUUUUGUUUCGAGCGAAAAAGUGCGUCGAGGUUAAUGGCGUUCAGAAAGCAUCAAAAACACCCUGAGAAUCCGCUUUCGAUCUUUUUUGCUUGCCAAAACUUUCCGCAACCCGUUUGAGGGUCAAAACGGCUGAAUUUGAGUCCGAAAAAUUGGCACCGCCUAUUAACCGCCCAUUAUGGUUUCAGGGGCUUUCCGAAAUAGUGCUAUGGGCGACGUAGUUCCUCACGGUUCAAAAGUUAUGAGGUUUCCAAGUUUAGACUCGUUUUAGGAUGCAAAAAAAAAAAUUAAAAAAUAAAAAGGGGUGCAAAACGAGGACUUCCCGGGAGGUCACCCAUCCUAGUACUACUCUAGCCCAACCAUGCUUAGCUGCAGAGUUCUGAUGGGAUCUAGUGCAUUAGUGCUGGUAUGAUCGCAGCCGUCAGUACAACACUCGCUUUUCUGUAUAUGCUUUGUUUCGGCCAAUCCAAGUAUAAGGCCGUGGGGCCCACAUGAUUUUCUGGCCGUUUUGUUUUGAGCGAAAAAGUGCGUCGAGGUUAAUGGCGUUAAGAAAGCUUCAAAAACAACCUGAGAAUCCGCUUUCGAUCUUUUUUAAGUGCCGUAACUUUCGGCAUCCCGUUUGAGGGACAAACCGGCUGAAUUUGAGCCCAAAAAAUUGCACCGUCUAUUCACCACCCAAUAUGGUUUCUGGGGCUUUCCGAAAUGGUGCUACGGGCGACGUAGUUCCUCAUGGUUCAAAAGUUAUGAGGUUUCCAAGUUUAGACUCGUUUUAGGCUGAAAA